CGGGGUGCAGCAGGCGCGAAAACUUUACAAUGCGGGAAACCGUGAUAGGGGGACACCGAGUGCCAGCAUCAUAUGCGGGCUGUCCGGGUGUGUAAAAUACACCCGUUAGCAAGGGCCGGGCAAGACCGGUGCCAGCCGCCGCGGUAACACCGGCGGCCCGAGUGGUGAUCGUGAUUAUUGGGUCUAAAGGGUCCGUAGCCGGUUUGGUCAGUCCUCCGGGAAAUUUGACGGCUCAACCGUUAGGCUUUCGGGGGAUACUGCCAGGCUUGGAACCGGGAGAGGUAAGAGGUACUACAGGGGUAGGAGUGAAAUCUUGUAAUCCCUGUGAGACCACCUGUGGCGAAGGCGUUUUACCAGAACGGGUUCGACGGUGAGGGACGAAAGCUGGGGGCACGAACCGGAUUAGAUACCCGGGUAGUCCCAGCCGUAAACGAUGCUCGCUAGGUGUCAGGCAUGGCGCGACCGUGUCUGGUGCCGCAGGGAAGCCGUGAAGCGAGCCACCUGGGAAGUACGGCCGCAAGGCUGAAACUUAAAGGAAUUGGCGGGGGAGC
rnacentral:rRNA from 1 species